AUUAAUUGUAGAUGAAGUUCUUUUGUCCUGGUUAAUUGUAUAUUAAUUUCUUUCGUCCUGGUUAAUUGUAGAUGAAGUACCUUUUCCAUGUACUACUGAUUUGCCUCCUCGUCUUAACGGUUCAAACCGCAGCUGCAAAGACGUGUGUGCGCAAAUGCAGGUCUGCAUCUGGGAGGUGCGUCGCACAAGGGAAGAUGGUUCAAAUUAAAUUUCGGAGCGGGAUCCUCUACAGAUGCAAAUGCAAAAUCAAGGGCAGGGAAACGCAUUACGAAGAAUGUGCCCGGUUGGAUGUUUGUAAGAAGCCAGGCAUACCGUGAGAGUAAUAAAACUGAAGUGGUCAUCCACUGAAA